rnacentral:rRNA from 1 species
ACACGCAUGACACACUGCAUAUCAAUAAGCGGAGGAAAAGAAACUAACAAGGAUUCCCUUAGUAACGGCGAGUGAAGCGGGAAGAGCUCAAAUUUGAAAUCUUCAAGGUUUUACCUUGACGAAUUGUAGUUUAAAGAAGUGUUUUCUGUUGGAGUUUUGGUAAAAGUUCUUUGGAAUAGGACAUCAUAGAGGGUGAGAAUCCCGUAUUUGACCAUUAUUUCCAGCUGUGUGAUACACUUUCUAAGAGUCGGAUUGUUUGGGAAUGCAGUCCAAAAUGGGUGGUAAAUUUCAUCUAAAGCUAAAUAUUGGCGAGAGACCGAUAGCGAACAAGUACCGUGAGGGAAAGAUGAAAAGAACUUUGAAAAGAGAGUUAAACAGUACGUGAAAUUGUCAAAAGGGAAGCGUUUGACACCAGUGUUGUUUAGUUGAAAAAUCAAUUCAAUAAUUUUUGAUUUUAAGUAGUAUUGACUUCAUCAGCUUGCUGCUUUCUUUUCGAAAAUUAUUGAAUGCACUUUUCAGUUAACAAGUCAACAUCAAUUUCUUUUGUUGUAAAAGGGUAAGAGGAAGGUGGCUUACGCUUCGGCGUAAGUGUUUAUAGCCUUUUACCUCUGCAAUCGGAGAGAUUGAGGUCAGCAGCGUAGACUCCUUCGGGGGUUAGAUACACUUGUGCUAAGCUAUAGCCUUGUAUAGACAACUUGUUGACUAUGCUCAGUCAUGUAGCUUACUCGCAUGUGCUAUUUUACCUACGCUUAGGAUGUUGAGCGCAUGUCUCUCUCU